GUUGGACCAGUAACGGUGAGAAUGUCGCCUCUUAUUCUCCUCGCGCUAUGCGCCCUGGUGACGUGUGCCGCCGGUAUGCCUUCUUUCAUUAAUAACGGAAUCAGUGGAAAUGGAAACGGAUUGAACAAUGGAAACCCAUUGAAUGGUGGAAAUUGUCUGUCCGCCAACCAGGUGUGUGGACAGGGCGGACGAUGUUGCACGGGCUUCGAGUGUAAGGGCUACAACAUCAGGACCUGCCAGCCGUUUAGGAUAGGAUAAACACCAUGGGAACUACAUGUCUGCUGUACUAUUUGCUCAGUGAAUAAAAUAUGUCAGCACGGGCCUACCUGCUGGUUCUUCUCUACAGAA
rnacentral:lncRNA from 1 species